rnacentral:rRNA from 1 species
AUUGAACGCUGGCGGCAGGCCUAACACAUGCAAGUCGAGCGGAUGAAGGGAGCUUGCUCCUGGAUUCAGCGGCGGACGGGUGAGUAAUGCCUAGGAAUCUGCCUGGUAGUUGGGGAUAACGUCCGGAGACGGGCGCUAAUACCGCAUACGUCCUGAGGGAGAAAGUGGGGGGUCUUCGGACCUCACGCUAUCAGAUGAGCCUAGGUCGGAUUAGCUAGUUGGUGGGGUAAAGGCCUACCAAGGCGACGAUCCGUAACUGGUCUGAGAGGAUGAUCAGUCACACUGGAACUGAGACACGGUCCAGACUCCUACGGGAGGCAGCAGUGGGGAAUAUUGGACAAUGGGCGAAAGCCUGAUCCAGCCAUGCCGCGUGUGUGAAGAAGGUCUUCGGAUUGUAAAGCACUUUAGGUUGGGAGGAAGGGCAGUAAGUUAAUACCUUGCUGUUUUGACGUUACCAACAGAAUAAGCACCGGCUAACUUCGUG